UGGGGAAUAUUGCACAAUGGGGGAAACCCUGAUGCAGCGACGCCGCGUGAACGAAGAAGGUAUUCGUAUCGUAAAGUUCUGUCCUAUGGGAAGAUAAUGACAGUACCAUAGAAGAAAGCUCCGGCUAAAUACGUGCCAGCAGCCGCGGUGAUACGUAUGGAGCGAGCGUUGUCCGGAAUUAUUGGGCGUAAAGGGUACGCAGGCGGUUUAAUAAGUCGAAUGUUAAAGAUCGGGGCUCAACCCCGUAAAGCAUUGGAAACUGAUAAACUUGAGUAGUGGAGAGGAAAGUGGAAUUCCUAGUGUAGUGGUGAAAUACGUAGAUAUUAGGAGGAAUACCAGUAGCGAAGGCGACUUUCUGGACACAAACUGACGCUGAGGUACGAAAGCGUGGGGAGCAAACAGG
rnacentral:rRNA from 1 species